rnacentral:rRNA from 1 species
GACGAACGCUGGCGGCGUGCCUAACACAUGCAAGUCGAACGAAGCAUUUAAGUGAAUCCCUUCGGGGCGAAGCUUUUAUGACUUAGUGGCGGACGGGUGAGUAACGCGUGAGUAACCUGCCUUUCAGAGGGGGAUAACAGUUGGAAACGACUGCUAAUACCGCAUAACGUAUCGGAACCGCAUGAUUCUGAUACCAAAGCUGAGGCGCUGAAAGAUGGACUCGCGUCUGAUUAGAUAGUUGGUGAGGUAACGGCUCACCAAGUCGACGAUCAGUAGCCGGACUGAGAGGUUGAACGGCCACAUUGGGACUGAGACACGGCCCAG